rnacentral:rRNA from 1 species
AUGGACCGCCAAGCUAUUGCCUCAAAAAGUGAACUGGAGCAUAUUCUACUUGAUGAAGGCGCGGAACCAAAGGCCCUGCCAUUAUCACUUCUGGAGCACAUCACAAGCAGUUUCUCUGCUGACAAAGAAAUUGGAGAUGGUGGCUUUGCAAGGGUUUAUAAGGGAGUGCUAGACAAUGGCACGGUUGCUGUGAAGAAGCUUUUUGGAACGGUUGAUCUUGAUGAGAAGAAAUUCAGUGAAGAGGUUCGUUGUCUAAUGAAGGCAAAGCACAAAAAUAUAGUGCGGUUCCUAGGAUAUUGCUCUGAUACACAAGGGGAAAUGGUAGACUGUGAGGGAAAGCUUGUCUUAGCAGAUGUGCGAAAAAGGUUACUCUGCUUUGAAUAUCUACCUAAAGGGAGUCUGGAUAAGCAAAUCACUGAUGCAUCAUGUGGACUUGAGUGGAGUAAACGCUAUCAAAUUAUCAGUGGAAUUUGCGACGGUUUAUAUUAUCUUCACCAAAAUCACAUCGUUCACUUGGAUCUUAAACCUGCAAAUAUACUGCUACAUGAUAAUAUGAUGCCGAAAAUAGCUGAUUUCGGCCUCUCGAGGUGCUUCGAUGAGAAGCAAAGCCAAACUAUUACUUCUAAUAUGCUUGGAACUAUAGGAUAUUUGGCGCCAGAAUUCUAUGCACGCAGACAGAUCACGUUCAAGCUAGACAUAUAUAGUCUUGGUAUGGUAAUCAUAGAGAUACUAACAGGAGAGAAGGGAUAUGCUAAUAUUGAUAAUGUACUUGAGAGGUGGAGAAGUAGGUUGGAUAAAUCUCAGGAAGACAAACAACUGGUACAAGUACGAGUAUGCACAGAGAUAGCUAUUGAGUGCACUGACUUUAACCCGGCGAAAAGACCUGAUGCUCAUCAUAUAAUUGAUAGGCUUGGUGCAACAAGAAAUGCAGAUGAGUUUGCUACUGAAACAGAGGCAAAUAGUAGUUCAUCAGUACCAAAGUUGGCAGCUGUCUCCCCUGGUCCCACAAUUUGUCCUGAGAAUGCAAUGGAUAAUGAGUUGAAGAAGUCAACAGAAGAAUUGUUUAGUAUGACAGAUCAAAUCCAGUGUUUCAGUUCGAUGCCAGAUGACAGUUCUAAUGUGCAGCUAGAUACGGGCAUACGGGAAACAACAUCGGAUGUGGAAGAAGCACUGAUCAUCGGGAGGACUGAAGAGAAGCAGAAAAUAGUGGCUACUUUAUCUGAGAGCAUCACACCAGAGGUCACCAUUCUUCCAAUAUAUGGCUUUGGAGGUAUUGGCAAGACAACCUUGGCUCAACUAGUUUUUAAUGAUUCUCAGUUUGCUGGCUACUCCAGGGUGUGGGUCUAUGUGUCCCAAAAUUUUGACUUGAAUAAAAUUGGCAACUCUAUAAUAUCACAGUUAUCAGAGGAGAGUCAUGUAACUGAAAAACAGAUGAUACAUAAUCACCUCAGAAAGCUACUUGCUGGUAAGAAGAUUCUUAUUGUCUUAGAUGACGUGUGGGAGAAGAAUCCAGAUACACUAAAAUCUUUGAAGGCUAUGUUAAGGCUUGGUGCAGAUAGCAUGGUGAAAAUUAUCGUAACCACAAGAGAUGAAGCCAUUGCAAGGGAAAUUUGUCAUACAGUUGAGCCAUACAAGCUAGAGACUUUGACAGAUAAAUUUUGUUGGAAAAUAUUAAAACAGAAAACUGCCUUCAAAAAUCGAGUCGACAAGAAACAGUUGAAGCAUAUAGGAAGGGAGAUUGCCACCAAAUGUGGAGGUGUCGCCUUAGCGGCUCAAUCACUUGGAUACACGUUGAACGGCAAGACGUCUGACGAAUGGGAGUCAGUGAGGGACAACUAUAUCUGGACUGUACCUACUCCGGAGGAUCCAUCAUCAAAAAAUCAUGAAGUGCAAGCGUCCUUGUUAUUAAGCUAUCACCACAUGCCUGAAUGCUUGAAGAUGUGCUUUUCCUAUUGUGCAAUCUUUCCAAAAGGUCACAAUAUAGUGAAGUGUGAUCUAAUUCACCAAUGGAUAGCUCUUGGAUUCAUUGAGCCAUCUACGAUAUUUGAUACUAUGCAGCUUGGCGAAAAAUAUGUUACACAGCUUUUGGGGAUGUCGUUCCUUCAAUAUUCAAAGACACCUUCGAGUGAUGGACGGCGGGACAAAGGUGUUACCUUGUUCACGUUGCAUGACCUAGUGCAUGAUCUUGCAGCAGCGAUGUUGGCCGACAAAGUUAAUAAAAAGGGCAAUGCUGUAGAAAGCAGUUGCCACUAUGCAUUGGUCACAGAUUGUAGCAAGCCAUUGCAGUUGUCAACAAGUUCUCCUGAAAAUACCUAUUUCAAAAAAACCUUUUACCCGUUUCAAAAAAGGAGUUCUACUGAAAAAAUAAAGGCAUUGUUUUUUCUGAACUGUGGCAAAAUAGAGCUCCGUGGUGGUGCAUUUUCACCUGCUAAGUGUCUCCUUGUCUUAGAUUUAAGUGAAUGCUUUAUUCGGAAGUUACCUAGUUCUAUUGGACAAUUGAAGCAGUUAAGAUAUCUUCAUGCUCCACGGAUCCAAGAUCAGGAGAAUCCCAAUUGUAUCUCCGAGCUCUCACAAUUAAGUUACCUCAACCUUGGAGACUCUCAUUGUAUCUCAGCAUUGCCGGAGUCAAUUGGAGAUAUGAAAGGUCUGAUGCAUCUUGAUUUAUCAGGUUGUGUUGGAAUAAGUGACCUCCCAAAAUCAUUUGCGAAGCUGAAGCAGUUGGUGUAUCUUGAUUUAUCAUAUUGCAAAAUGUCUAUAUCAGAAGCUUUGGGUGGUUUUACCAAACUUCAGCAUCUGAAUUUAUCAGAUAAAUUUACUAUGCACACAAAGCACAUCAUAGGGCAUCCAGAGGUCAUCGGCAACCUAAUCAAACUCAGGUACUUGAAUCUAUCGUGGUGCAUGGACGUCGUGGCCCCGGACCAAAUUAACAGUUUGGUUUGCUGUAUCAGUACCCUUUCUAAUCUAGAGCAUCUGGACUUGUCAUGUAAUACCGGGAUUUGUAGUAUACCAGAAAGUAUUGGCAACCUCAGGAAGCUUCAUACAUUGGACCUCUCAGGCUGCUACAACCUAAAGAAGCUUCCCGAUAGUAUGGUUAAUAUGGUUAGUUUGAAGGAUCUAUUUGUGGAAGAAGAACUUACAUUGGAUGAACCAUUGCUCCCUCGGUUAAAUUGUGCCUCAUUGCCACACUUUGUGGUGCAUGCUUCAAGUGACAAAUGUUGUAGCAAUAUCAUUCUGCUUCAGCCUACAAAUCCUGAUAAACUGACGAUAGAUGCACUUGAAAAUGUGAAGUCUGCAGAAGAGGCACACAGUAUAAAACUGAUAGAGAAACAAAAAAUGAAAAGGCUAACAUUUCAAUGGACUGUAGCUGCUGGGAGGUUUGUGGAUGACGAGGAGGUGUUGGAAAAACUAGUGCCACCAAGCAGUGUACAGAAAUUGUCUAUAACUGGUUACAACAGUCUCAGCCUUCCUGAUUGGUUCGUGGGUAUUAGGCAAUAUCUCCCUAAUCUUUGUGUGAUAAAGUUGAGGAAUUUUCCGAAGUGCAAGAACCUACCACCACUUGGUCAACUACCAAACCUACAAGAGCUGUGUCUCCGCGGUAUGCCUUGCUUGGAAGAGUGGAACAUGGCAUAUACCAGUGGCGAGAAAUUUGCAAAUGAGCUCAUGUUCCCUAAGCUUCAGAGGUUGGACAUAAGGAAAUGUGCCAAGUUGAGGAUAAAACUAUGUCUUUGUAGAGCUAUGAUUUUGUUCAUAGUAGAUUGCGAUAAUGUGCUAUCAUCAUGGGGAGAGAUCUUGUCACACAACAGUGCUUCCUCCUCUUCCCCAAUUACAAAUCUUAAUGUUUCUGACAGCAAGUUGUUUCACCACCUCCCCGCCCCGCAUAGUUUAGCUAUCAGGUUUCGCAAUGAUCUAACCACCUUACCUGAGAAUCGCCAACAGUUCUCCUCCCUCCAAUCAUUGUCCCUGCGGCUAGGACGCAGCAACGAAGCAGAACUGCCAAGAUGGCUGUUUGAGCUUACAUCUCUUCAGGAGCUGGAGAUAAGCCACCCAAAGCUAGAGAAACUGAAUGAAGACACUAGGCAACUCACAGGACUACAGUCACUAAGUCUGUCUCAUUGUGAAAGCAUGGCAUCACUACCGGAAUGGUUAGGAGAACUUACCUCUCUCAAGAGAUUUCAGAUCAAGUACUGCAAAGGGAUCAGAUCAUUGCCAGAUAGCAUACGAAAACUGACCAACCUUGAAUAUCUGGCCAUUGAUGGCUGCUCUACAUUAAGGAAGUGGUGUGAAUCACAGGAGAACAAGAUGAAGCUUGCUCACAUUAGAUGGAAGCACUUGGUAUUAGACAAUGCACAUGAAGAACACAUACCAGAGUAUGGGACAGCAGGCUUGUGA